rnacentral:misc_RNA from 1 species
GAUGAAGAACGCAGCGAAAUGCGAUAAGUAGUGUGAAUUGCAGAAUUCAGUGAAUCAUCGAAUCUUUGAACGCACAUUGCGCCUUCUGGUAUUCCGGGAGGCAUGCCUGUCCGAACGUCAUCAAGCCCCUCGCCGGCAUCUGUUGCUUGCAACCGAAGCCUGGGCGGCACAUGGCAGAUGGCCGCCUCCUGGUGGCCACUGCCGAAAUGUAUCGGCAGACCCUUCAUGGCUGUGAUUGUGAUAAGAUUUUACUUACAAUUGCUAUGCUGACAGGCGUCUUGCCACAAGCAUCCGGGAGGUCCUCCACGGGAUCUCUUGGUAAACCAAAUCUUUUGACUUCGGAUCAGGUAGGGAUACCCGCUGAACUUAAGCAUAUCAAUAAGCGGAGGA